GAUGAACGCUGGCGGCGUGCCUAAUACAUGCAAGUCGAGCGAACGGACGAGAAGCUUGCUUCUCUGAUGUUAGCGGCGGACGGGUGAGUAACACGUGGAUAACCUACCUAUAAGACUGGGAUAACUUCGGGAAACCGGAGCUAAUACCGGAUAAUAUUUUGAACCGCAUGGUUCAAAAGUGAAAGACGGUCUUGCUGUCACUUAUAGAUGGAUCCGCGCUGCAUUAGCUAGUUGGUAAGGUAACGGCUUACCAAGGCAACGAUGCAUAGCCGACCUGAGAGGGUGAUCGGCCACACUGGAACUGAGACACGGUCCAGACUCCUACGGGAGGCAGCAGUAGGGAAUCUUCCGCAAUGGGCGAAAGCCUGACGGAGCAACGCCGCGUGAGUGACGAAGGUCUUCGGAUCGUAAAACUCUGUUAUUAGGGAAGAACAUAUGUGUAAGUAACUGUGCACAUCUUGACGGUACCUAAUCAGAAGGCCACGGCUAACUACGUG
rnacentral:rRNA from 1 species